UAUUUUUAUUAUUUUUUAUUUCACGUGACAGGGACAAAAAAGAAGUGUUUUGUCGUUAUUAUGCGAAUUCCGCGAAUUAUACUUUAAACGUGACACAUAUCAUGCGAAGAAACUUCUCGCGUUAUAACAGGCAGUUUGAUACUUCUACAGCUGAAGACGAUUCGUAUUUCACAUCGGAUCUUGAUUUACCAAAUCCAAAAGUGACACAGUCUUAUAAUCGAAAAUUGAGACUUGCUUGUCGAACGUCAAAAAAC